rnacentral:rRNA from 1 species
UACGUAGGGGGCAAGCGUUGUCCGGAAUCAUUGGGCGUAAAGCGCGUGUAGGCGGUUCGGUAAGUCUGCUGUGAAAGUCGGGGGCUCAACCCUGGGAUGCCGGUGGAUACUGUCGGACUAGAGUACGGAAGAGGCGAGUGGAAUUCCCGGUGUAGCGGUGAAAUGCGCAGAUAUCGGGAGGAACACCAAUUGCGAAGGCAGCUCGCUGGGACGUCACUGACGCUGAGACGCGAAAGCGUGGGGAGCAAACAGGG